GAUGAACGCUAGCUACAGGCUUAACACAUGCAAGUCGAGGGGAAACGACAUCGAAAGCUUGCUUUUGAUGGGCGUCGACCGGCGCACGGGUGAGUAACGCGUAUCCAACCUGCCCAUCACUUGGGAAUAACCUUGCGAAAGUAAGACUAAUACCCAAUGAUAUCCAUAGAAGACAUCUGAAAUGGAUUAAAGAUUUAUCGGUGAUGGAUGGGGAUGCGUCUGAUUAGCUUGUUGGCGGGGUAACGGCCCACCAAGGCGACGAUCAGUAGGGGUUCUGAGAGGAAGGUCCCCCACAUUGGAACUGAGACACGGUCCAAACUCCUACGGGAGGCAGCAGUGGGGAAUAUUGGGCAAUGGGCGAAAGCCUGACCCAGCAACGCCGCGUGAAGGAAGAAGGUCUUCGGAUUGGUAAACUUCUUUUAUCAGGGACGAAGUAAGUGACAGUACCUGAUGAAUAAGCCACGGCUAACUACGUGCCAGCAGCC
rnacentral:rRNA from 1 species